rnacentral:rRNA from 1 species
UACAGAGGUGGCUAGCGUUGUUCGGAAUUACUGGGCGUAAAGGGCGCGUAGGCGGCUUGAUAAGUCCUGUGUGAAAUCCCUCGGCUCAACUGAGGAACUGCACAGGAAACUGUCUGGCUUGAGUUCGGGAGAGGGAAGUGGAAUUCCGGGUGUAGCGGUGAAAUGCGUAGAUAUCCGGAGGAACACCGGUGGCGAAGGCGGCUUCCUGGACCGACACUGACGCUGAGGCGCGAAAGCUAGGGGAGCAAACGGG